GCACUACGGUGCUGAAGUAACAAAUGCCCUGCUUCCAGGAAAAGCCUCUAAGCAUCAGGUAACAUCAAAUCGUACCCCAAACCGACACAGGUGGUCAGGUAGAGAAUACCAAGGCGCUUGAGAGAACUCGGGUGAAGGAACUAGGCAAAAUGGUGCCGUAACUUCGGGAGAAGGCACGCUGGUGUGUAGGUGAAGUCCCUGCGGAUGGAGCUGAGACCAGUCGAAGAUACCAGCUGGCUGCAACUGUUUAUUAAAAACACAGCACUGUGCAAACACGAAAGUGGACGUAUACGGUGUGACGCCUGCCCGGUGCCGGAAGGUUAAUUGAUGGGGUUAUCCGUAAGGAGAAGCUCUUGAUCGAAGCCCCGGUAAACGGCGGCCGUAACUAUAACGGUCCUAAGGUAGCGAAAUUCCUUGUCGGGUAAGUUCCGACCUGCACGAAUGGCGUAAUGAUGGCCAGGCUGUCUCCACCCGAGACUCAGUGAAAUUGAACUCGCUGUGAAGAUGCAGUGUACCCGCGGCAAGACGGAAAGACCCCGUGAACCUUUACUAUAGCUUGACACUGAACAUUGAGCCUUGAUGUGUAGGAUAGGUGGGAGGCUUUGAAGCGUGGACGCCAGUCUGCGUGGAGCCAACCUUGAAAUACCACCCUUUAAUGUUUGAUGUUCUAACGUUGGCCCCUGACCGGGGUUGCGGACAGUGUCUGGUGGGUAGUUUGACUGGGGCGGUCUCCUCCCAAAGCGUAACGGAGGAGCACGAAGGUUAGCUAAUCCUGGUCGGACAUCAGGAGGUUAGUGCAAUGGCAUAAGCUAGCUUGACUGCGAGCGUGACGGCGCGAGCAGGUGCGAAAGCAGGUCAUAGUGAUCCGGUGGUUCUGAAUGGAAGGGCCAUCGCUCAACGGAUAAAAGGUACUCCGGGGAUAACAGGCUGAUACCGCCCAAGAGUUCAUAUCGACGGCGGUGUUUGGCACCUCGAUGUCGGCUCAUCACAUCCUGGGGCUGAAGUAGGUCCCAAGGGUAUGGCUGUUCGCCAUUUAAAGUGGUACGCGAGCUGGGUUUAGAACGUCGUGAGACAGUUCGGUCCCUAUCUGCCGUGGGCGCUGGAGAAUUGAGGGGGGCUGCUCCUAGUACGAGAGGACCGGAGUGGACGCAUCACUGGUGUUCGGGUUGUCAUGCCAAUGGCACUGCCCGGUAGCUAAAUGCGGAAGAGAUAAGUGCUGAAAGCAUCUAAGCACGAAACUUGCCCCGAGAUGAGUUCUCCCUGAGACUUUAAGUCUCCUGAAGGAACGUUAAAGACGAUGACGUUGAUAGGCCGGGUGUGUAAGCGCAGCGAUGCGUUGAGCUAACCGGUACUAAUGAACCGUGAGGCUUAACCUU
rnacentral:rRNA from 1 species